GCGAUGAACCGUAUUGCCGCCGUAAAACCACGCCGCUGGCGUGAUUUUUACGGAGGAAAGUCCGGGCUCCGCAGGGCAUGAUGCCGGGUAACCCCCGGGCAGCGGAUCCGUGAGGAUCCGCUGACAGACAGCGCAACAGAAAAUAUACCGCCGGGAAACCGGUAAGGGUGAAAAGGCGGGGUAAGAGCCCGCCGCGGAACCGGCGACGGUUCCGGCACGGCAAACCUCAUCAGGAGCAAAGCCAAGCAGCGGUAUAAACGGCCCGUUUUUGAACCGCGGGUAGGCUGCGUCGAUGCCGCCGGCAACGGCGGCACAAGAUAGAUGGCAAUAUCACCGUAUUCCAUACUUAUGGAAUACGGUGUAACAGAACCCGGCUUACAGGUUCAUCGCUUUU
rnacentral:RNase_P_RNA from 1 species